rnacentral:hammerhead_ribozyme from 1 species
AUCUAGAUGACGAGUCUCAAAUAGGACGAAACGCGCGUUUUGGGU